rnacentral:rRNA from 1 species
UACGUAGGGUGCGAGCGUUGUCCGGAAUUAUUGGGCGUAAAGGGCUCGUAGGCGGUCUGUCGCGUCGGUAGUGAAAACUCAGGGCUUAACCCUGAGCCUGCUUCCGAUACGGGCAGACUAGAGGUAUGCAGGGGAGAAUGGAAUUCCCGGUGUAGCGGUGAAAUGUGUAGAGAUCGGGAGGAACACCGGUGGCGAAGGCGGGUCUCUGGGCAUCUCCUGACGCUGAGGCGCGAAAGCGUGGGGAGCAAACGGG